GUGGGGAAUAUUGGGCAAUGGGCGAAAGCCUGACCCAGCAACGCCGCGUGAAGGAAGAAGGUUUUCGGAUCGUAAACUUCUAUCCUUGGUGAAGAUAAUGACGGUAGCCAAGAAGGAAGCCCCGGCUAACUACGUGCCAGCAGCCGCGGUAAUACGUAGGGGGCAAGCGUUGUCCGGAAUGAUUGGGCGUAAAGGGCGCGUAGGCGGCCCGGUAAGUCUGAAGUGAAAGUCCUGCUUUUAAGGUGGGAAUUGCUUUGGAUACUGUCGGACUUGAGUGCAGGAGAGGUAAGCGGAAUUCCCGGUGUAGCGGUGAAAUGCGUAGAGAUCGGGAGGAACACCAGUGGCGAAGGCGGCUUACUGGACUGUAACUGACGCUGAGGCGCGAAAGUGUGGGGAGCAAACAGGAUUAGAAACCCUGGUAGUCC
rnacentral:rRNA from 1 species